UGGGGAAUAUUGGACAAUGGGCGCAAGCCUGAUCCAGCCAUGCCGCGUGAGUGAUGAAGGCCCUAGGGUUGUAAAGCUCUUUCACCGGUGAAGAUAAUGACGGUAACCGGAGAAGAAGCCCCGGCUAACUUCGUGCCAGCAGCCGCGGUAAUACGAAGGGGGCUAGCGUUGUUCGGAAUUACUGGGCGUAAAGCGCACGUAGGCGGGUAUUUAAGUCAGGGGUGAAAUCCCGGAGCUCAACUCCGGAACUGCCUUUGAUACUGGGUACCUAGAGUAUGGAAGAGGUAAGUGGAAUUCCGAGUGUAGAGGUGAAAUUCGUAGAUAUUCGGAGGAACACCAGUGGCGAAGGCGGCUUACUGGUCCAUUACUGACGCUGAGGUGCGAAAGCGUGGGGAGCAAACAGG
rnacentral:rRNA from 1 species